ACUCCUACGGGAGGCAGCAGUGGGGAAUAUUGCACAAUGGGCGCAAGCCUGAUGCAGCCAUGCCGCGUGUAUGAAGAAGGCCUUCGGGUUGUAAAGUACUUUCAGCGGGGAGGAAGGCAAUACGGUUAAUAACCGUGUUGAUUGACGUUACCCGCAGAAGAAGCACCGGCUAACUCCGUGCCAGCAGCCGCGGUAAUACGGAGGGUGCAAGCGUUAAUCGGAAUUACUGGGCGUAAAGCGCACGCAGGCGGUCUGUCAAGUCGGAUGUGAAAUCCCCGGGCUCAACCUGGGAACUGCAUUCGAAACUGGCAGGCUUGAGUCUUGUAGAGGGGGGUAGAAUUCCAGGUGUAGCGGUGAAAUGCGUAGAGAUCUGGAGGAAUACCGGUGGCGAAGGCGGCCCCCUGGACAAAGACUGACGCUCAGGUGCGAAAGCGUGGGGAGCAAACAGGAUUAGAUACCCGUGUAGUCCCA
rnacentral:rRNA from 1 species